rnacentral:rRNA from 1 species
AUACUUUCCGCCAGAGAACUACAAGUGAAAAACUUGAAACUCAAAGGACUUGGCGGUGUCCCACAUUCAGCCUAGAGGAGCCUGUCCUAUAAUCGAUACCCCACGUUUCACCUCACCCUCACUAGCACCAACCCAGCCUAUAUACCGCCGUCGACAGCUUACCCCAUGAGGGAAAAAUAGUAAGCAUAAUAGCCCCCCGCUAAUACGUCAGGUCAAGGUGUAGCUUAUGUGACGGAAGAGAUUGGCUACAUUUUUUAUAUUAAAAAACACGGAAUGCUACAUGAAAAAUAACAUGAAGGCGAAUUUAGUAGUAAGACAGACAAGAGAACCUGUCUUAAUAAUGCUCUGGGACGCGCACACACCGCC